rnacentral:lncRNA from 1 species
CGCCCCCCCCCCCCCCCCCCCCGGGGAGGACUGCCCGAGCCGGCCGCCCGCACCCUGACCCCGGGCCGGCGGCCUUGACCUCACUGCCCACCUGCGCGACCCACCGGCCUUCCUCCCACCUGGCUGCCUUCUCCCCACUCGGGGCCACUCGACACUCGUCCCCUCGUCCCGGCGCCGACCUCCCUGAAAUACAGUCGUUUCACCACCGCUCCUUGCCUGCGGGUGCCGCCCGCAGCCAGUGCCCGAGCCUGGCCUGUGGGACUCGGGGGCGCCAGGGAAAUCCGCUGAGGUGCCCCACGCCCAGGGGCUGGGGGGCCUGCCGGCCUCUCCUCUGGGGGGGCUCGAGGUGUACACGCGAGCUGCAGCCUCGCCCCCACAGAAAGCAGCAGGGCCAGGCCGCGGAAAGCACAUGGAACGUGAGGCCAGGGCUGGGGGGCGUGGAGGGCCGUGGAGGGCCGUGGAGGCCGUGGGACCGCGAGCGGGGGGCUGGCCCUCUCUGGUCUGUGUCUCAUGAACUCAGGGUUAGGGGCUGGCGCCGUUGCGCUCUGUCCGACCUCACCCGACCUCACCCGCGAGCCUGGAACAGCAGGCGGCCUCUGUGCUUCCUCCUUGGGACCCACUUUCCCACUUUGAACAUAGUCCCCACGCGCCUGCCUCCUGUCAGCGUUGGUCGUGGGGCCCCGGCUGGAGAGCAGCUGCGGCGCCGAGACACACAGGAGGCGAACAAGGGCCCGGUGCACGCAGGCCUCCUGGGCCCUUCUGUGGCUAAAACCCUGGAAGUCCCAGCAAGCCUGAGCAGGGGACAAGCAGUGAGCCACCUGUCACCAGAGAUGCCAGAUUUUAUUUUUCUAUUCAUGAGAG